rnacentral:rRNA from 1 species
AAUGAACGCUGGCGGCAUGCCUAACACAUGCAAGUCGAACGAGACCUUCGGGUCUAGUGGCGCACGGGUGCGUAACGCGUGGGAAUCUGCCCUUGGGUUUCGGGAAUAACAGUUAGAAAUGACUGCUAAUACCGAAUGAUGUCGUAAGACCAAAGAUUUAUCGCCCAGGGAUGAGCCCGCGUAAGAUUAGGUAGUUGGUGUGGUAAAGGCGCACCAAGCCGACGAUCUUUAGCUGGUCUGAGAGGAUGAUCAGCCACACUGGGACUGAGACACGGCCCAGACUCCUACGGGAGGCAGCAGUGGGGAAUAUUGGACAAUGGGCGAAAGCCUGAUCCAGCCAUGCCGCGUGUGUGAAGAAGGCC